rnacentral:rRNA from 1 species
CGGACGGGUGCGUAACGCGUAUGCAACUUACCUUAAGCAGGGGGAUAGGUCCCGGAAACGGGAAUUAAAACCGCAUGACACAUUAGAUUCGCAUGGGUUUAAUGUAAAAGUUGAGGUGGCUUAAGAUGGGCAUGCGUCUGAUUAGCUGGUUGGUAGGGUAACGGCCUACCAAGGCGACGAUCAGUAGGGGUUCUGAGAGGAUACACCCCCACACUGGUACUGAGACACGGACCUUACUCCUACGGGAGGCAGCAGUGAGGAAUAUUGGUCAAUGGGCGGAAGCCUGAACCAGCCAUUCCGCGUGAAGGAAGAAGGCCUUACGGGUUGUAAACUUCUAUACUGUAAGAAGAAUAACCGGGACGAGUUUCCGGGAUGACGGUAUUAUAGGAAUA